rnacentral:rRNA from 1 species
UACGUAGGGUGCGAGCGUUAAUUGGAAUUACUGUGCGUAAAGCGUGCGCAGGCGGUUUUGUAAGCCAGAUGUGAAAGCCCCGGGCUUAACCUGGGAAUGGCAUUUGGGACUGCAAGGCUUGAGUGCGGCAGAGGAGACUGGAAUUCCUGGUGUAGCAGUGAAAUGCGUAGAUAUCAGGAGGAAUACCGAUGGCGAAGGCAGGUCUCUGGGCUGACACUGACGCUCAUGCACGAAAGCGUGGGGAGCAAACAGG